AAGUCGUAACAAGGUUUCCGUAGGUGAACCUGCGGAAGGAUCAUUCACAAUGAGUGUUUAUGGCACUCUUAAUCCCAUAUCCACCUUGUGUGCAAUGUCUUGAAGAUUAUCAAUUGGAUGAGAGUCCAAUUGAACAACUCUUUUUUUUUUUUUUUAUCACACCUUUUUAUUUUAUUUUAUUUUUUUUUUUUUUCCUUGAAUCGUCUGAUUUAAAGAAUAAAUAAAAUGAUAAUACAACUUUCAACAACGGAUCUCUUGGCUCUC
rnacentral:misc_RNA from 1 species